ensembl:lncRNA
GGAAGUAUGUAAAUGUACAGUAACAUUUAUAAUCCCAUUCUUCUACCAAUGGCAGCAGCAGCUUCCCUCUGAUGAAUGGGAUGGCUUGGGUUAGUACUCGACCCCCGGACAAAGGGCAGCAAGUGGUCCUGCUUCCAGAGCAGGAUGUCAGAAUACUGCAGGCUCCUAAUCUGCAUUGGAGUGUUGGGAGAGAAGACUGACCGCAGAAAGUCUAUGAUGGUUAAAGCUGUUAUAGUCUUGUGUUUGUGCUAACAUUCCACUACUUGACACUUCUUGUCAUGCCAAACAGUCUUGCAUGACAAGAAUCAAUCAAAAUCAAAUCAAAGUUAUUUGUCACGUGCACAGGAUACACUGUGUAAGUGUGUGUAAGUGUAAAUUCAUGAAUGUGGGUGUGCGUGAGUGUGUGUGGGUGGGAAUGUGUGGAGUGGUGUGCGUAGACAGCCAGUGAUUGCAGGUAGACAGUCGUUGUUAAACUGUUCAGCAGUUUUAAUGCUUCAGAGUUCGCCCCCAGUGAUGAACGGUGCAGCCUUCAGCACCCUCUGUAGAGCCUUGUGGUGGAGAGGGGUGCAGCUUCCGUACCAGGCGGUGAUACAGCCAGUCAGUAUGCAGCUCAAUGGUACAUCUGUAGAAACUGGUGCCAGGUUUUUUUCAGCCACCUGAGGAAGAACAGACGCUGGCGUGCCUUCUUGAUAAAUGCACCAAGGAGUGGAAUGUUACCACUAACACACCAGAUUUCUGCAUGCUAGUAGUGUGUCCUAGUAUUUACAAUCAUAUGUAACCAUGUUCAUUUUUAAAUGUAUUUUGUCUUUGUAAUAGGGUGGUGCAUUUCCUAAUUUCUCUCAUUUACUUAUAUUAAUGUAGUGAAUAUAAAUUACUGUUUUAAUGUUGAAAUGUUGACAUUUAACACCAUUCAGUUUCUACAAAUGUGUUGAACUAUAAGGGUGCAGAGUCAUGUUAUUAAUAGUCAGAUUGUAUGUUUCUGACUGGCUACUCUGUUCUCUGGUGGUACUGUAGCCUACACAGGUCCAUCCACCACAGAGAUAGAAGGAAAAUACAUAUCCUAGAGGGCAAUAGCAAGCCUCUAUGGAAACAGUGUAGUCAGAACAUUAUAUGCAAUUUUGAGUGUUGUCAUGUAUUUUUCUGUUUAAUUAAUUGGUCUGAAUUUUCAUAUCUUAUCAAAAAGUCCUUUAUUACUCAGAUGUUUACUAAGUUUGUCUGCUUUUGAAUGGAAGCAUAUUAUUUGAGCUACUACAGUUUAUUAAUCAUGUGUUGGUUUAUUUUUCAUUCAUUCAAAGCAUUCAGGUGACUAUUGUUUAUGCUUGAAUUAUUGAUUAAUCCUUUUAUACAUGCUUUUAUGCAGAAAUAAUAGCUGGAUGUGUUUCUUUCCAAUUGACCAUUUAACCAAAAUAUGUCAAUGUGAUGUUGUUAUAACUUAAUAGUUAUAUUUAGUCAUUUUGUAUUUUCUUUAUUGUUGAUUAUUGUUAUGUCCAUUGUGGGGGAAAGAGGAUGUUUGAAAAUCAUGUUCUGUUAUGGGUUUAUUUCUCAAU